rnacentral:rRNA from 1 species
GAAUAUUGGACAAUGGGGGGAACCCUGAUCCAGCCAUGCCGCGUGUGUGAAGAAGGCCUUUUGGUUGUAAAGCACUUUAAGCGAGGCGGAGGCUACUCUAGUUAAUACCUAGGGAGAGGGGACGUUACUCGCAGAAUAAGCACCGGCUACCCCUGUCCCAGCAUCCGGGGUAAUCAAGAGGGUGCAAGCGUUAAUCGGAUUUACUGGGCGUAAAGGGCGGGUAGGUGGCAAAUUAAGUCAAAGGUGAAAUCCCGGAGCUUAACUGGGGAAUGGCAUUCGAUACUGGUGGGCUAGAGUAUGGGAGAGGAUGGUAGAAUUCCAGGGGUAGCGGUGAAAGGCGUAGAGAUCUGGAGGAAUACCGAUGGCGAAGGCAGCCAUCUGGCCUAAUACUGACACUGAGGUGCGAAAGCAUGGGGAGCAAACA